AGCGAACGCUGGCGGCAGGCUUAACACAUGCAAGUCGAACGCAUCCUUCGGGGUGAGUGGCAGACGGGUGAGUAACGCGUGGGAACGUGCCCUUCAGUUCGGGAUAACCCAGGGAAACUUGGGCUAAUACCGGAUGCGUGCGAGAGCAGAAAGAUUUAUCGCUGAAGGAUCGGCCCGCGUCUGAUUAGCUAGUUGGUGGGGUAAUGGCCCACCAAGGCGACGAUCAGUAGCUGGUCUGGGAGGAUGAUCAGCCACAUUGGGACUGAGACACGGGCCAAACUCCAACGGGAGGCAGCAGUGGGGAAUCUUGGACAACGGGCGCAAGCCUGAUCCAGCCAUGCCGCGUGAGUGAUGAAGGCCUUAGGGCUGUAAAGCUCUUUCGUCCGGGACGAUAAUGACGGUACCGGAAGAAGAAGCCCCGGCUAACUUCGUGCCAGCCGCCGCCGUAA
rnacentral:rRNA from 1 species